rnacentral:lncRNA from 1 species
CCCGCGCCCUGGUGGCCGACCCCAGACGGGCUUGCUGCGCCCCUAGCCCCAGGAGGUCGUCCGCCUAGCCACAGAACUGUGGUCCCGGGCUUUCCCAAAUCUGGGGCGGAGGCGGCAGCGGCCACUAGAUGGCAGUCUGUCCCCCAGCAUGAUCGGAGCGGAUACCACCCUAAAACCAGGACGGAGACGGAGGCGAAAAGGGCAAAGUUAAGAUGGGUUUUCUUUAGGUUACGAUGUGCUUCGUGGUCAAUGUCUCUCUUCUCCAAUGUACUUCAAGCCCAAGGGAUCCCAGUGGAAGCUGCUGGAUGUUUUUUCUUCCAAAUUUCAAACAGACGCUCGCUGUGGGCCCUCCUCUGUCAGACGCCAUCGGCACCUGAAUGGACACAUCCUCUGGACAGUGGAAGUGCUUGGUCUUCUCCACCUUCAACCUGGCAACUCUGUCCAUGGCUCCUCCUCCCUUGAGUUGGGUCCGGCACAGGAGCUUCUUAGUCUUCAUUCAGUGGCACUGGAUGUCACUCUUCCAGUGAGCAACUCACCUUCAGGUGCUGCAC